CCUUCAGUAAUCCAGGAGCAAACAUAUCUCCAAAAUGGCUGCCUCACAGCGUUGUUACAAAUUCACACCAGAUGUGUGUGCCUACAUGUGUGUAACCGGGUCAUAUUUUGAGGUUGUUGUAUGUUUUCUAAGUGGUAAUGGGACAUGUCUCCUUUAAAUGCCAGAAAACUACAUUGCAUCAUGUUGUAGUUCCUGGGUUCGUAUGUGGUGAAUUCUGGGUAUUAAGACUGGAGCGAGAACGCAGUGCAUCAGAGAAGGUGGCUGGCGUGAGGGAUAUUUGGUGAUACUUGGUUAAUAUUGCUGACAUAUAGCCAUACUGGUAUCCUGGGAGCACACGUGUGUGGAGGAUAGAGAUGUGUGCGUGUUAGGAACAUGUAAGUGUUGGUAUCAUUUCAUUCGGACAUACUGGUGUAUAUUUUGGUUUUAUGUAUAUUUUAGCUUUAUGUAUUUGAUGUUAGUGGUAUACUAAUGAUGUUUUUGUAUUUGUCUACUCUCAGUAUCACCACUACCGUUUUGUAUUGCUGAACCUUACUUUCAUUUAUUUUCUUAUACGGCUAGUUCAGCUACAGAGUUGGGAUAGGCUUAGCUUGUGUACAGGUUAGUUUAUCAUAUAAGAUUUCUAUUUGAUGUCAUUUUAUUUUUGUACUUUUCUAUACAAAUCUUUUGUUUUAUAUAUCUAUCAGAUAAAGAACCCUUACUCUUAA